CAACCAGGACAGUAUGUGCGCGUGCGCGUGCGUGUGGAGGAACCGGUAAGACAUAACACGCCGCCUUGUCUUCAUUCUUCAAGAAGAACAUCACCAAGAUGUCUGUGUCUGAUCCCCCUGAUAUCAUACCUGUGCCGAAGCCUCGAUCGAGGUAUUUACGUGGAGUAGGUGUAGGUCAGCCGUCAUCCAGUGAAAGAAAUGGUAUGUUGUCUUGUCCAGAUGUUAAGGCUGAUACACAGAUGAAAUCUGAAGGUAUUUUUACUAUGUCUUCUUUGCGAAAAUAUUAAUAUCAGUAAUAUAUUUAUCCAUGUAUCUGUCAUGUUGACCCAGAAUACAGUACCAUAAAGUAUUAUUUCUCUUUUAUAUUGCGUAAGUAAUAAUAUAAUGAGUAAAGUGAGUACCGGAAGUCGCCAUGCCUUUCAAAAUAUUGACAAAAAUUGUGUCCUAAUAAAAGUUUGAAAUGAGAAACACAUAAAAGUCUGCUUUUACACAUAAAACCACAAAAUCCAAUUAAUUAAGUUAAUUGAAAUAUAAAGCCAUAAAAUGCAAUAUUUACAUUUACAUUCGUUUAGCUGACACUUGUAUCCAAAUAAGGGACAUUUCAAGCAAUUUAUCAUAAGAGAUAACAUAAAGUGUAACAAUGCAAAGUUAGAUUAGCACUCAACCUAGAAAUGAAAUGCAAAAUAUAGAGAAAUUAUAGAAGUGGUCUUUCAUAGCUGUGUAUUAGUAAACUAGUCUGUUAUUUGGAUAAAUGGAAUCACAUACAGUCUAUUGUGCAUUAAUUGCCCUCCAAGACUUUGCAAUAUUUGACUAUAUUUAACAUCUUAGUCAAAUUGCAUGGUGAUCACAGGCUG